UACGUAGGGCGCAAGCGUUGUCCGGAAUUAUUGGGCGUAAAGAGCUCGUAGGCGGCUUGUCACGUCGGGUGUGAAAGCCCGGGGCUUAACCCCGGGUCUGCAUUCGAUACGGGCUAGCUAGAGUGUGGUAGGGGAGAUCGGAAUUCCUGGUGUAGCGGUGAAAUGCGCAGAUAUCGUUUGGAACGCCAAUGGUGAAAACAGGUUGCUGGGAGUGCGCUGACGCUGAGACACGAAAGCCAGGGGAGCAAACGGG
rnacentral:rRNA from 1 species